rnacentral:sRNA from 1 species
UCUGCCAGAGCCCUUCCACGGGGGAGGGAGCCUGCCAGCUGCGAGGACCUCUGUGGUGGAGGAGUUGGUGCUGAUGGUGGUGGUAGUGACCACUAUGGGUCCCUGAGGCCUGGCUGGCCAGCAAGAGGGCAGGGUUGGCCACAGGAGGAAGACGGCGAGGACGUGCGAGGGGUGCUGAAGAGGCGCGUGGAGACGAGGCAGCACACUGAGGAGGCGAUCCGCCAGCAGGAGGUGGAGCAGCUGGACUUCCGAGACCUCCUGGGGAAGAAGGUGAGUACAAAGACCCUGUCGGAAGACGACCUGAAGGAGAUCCCAGCCGAGCAGAUGGAUUUCCGUGCCAACCUGCAGCGGCAAGUGAAGCCAAAGACUGUGUCCGAGGAAGAGAGGAAGGUGCACAGCCCCCAGCAGGUCGAUUUUCGCUCUGUCCUGGCCAAGAAGGGGACUUCCAAGACCCCCGUGCCUGAGAAGGUGCCACCGCCAAAACCUGCCACCCCGGAUUUUCGCUCAGUGCUGGGUGGCAAGAAGAAAUUACCAGCAGAGAAUGGCAGCAGCAGUGCCGAGACCCUGAAUGCCAAGGCAGUGGAAAGUUCCAAGCCCCUGAGCAAUGCACAGCCUUCAGGGCCCUUGAAACCCGUGGGCAACGCCAAGCCUGCUGAGACCCUGAAGCCAAUGGGCAACGCCAAGCCUGCCGAGACCCUGAAGCCCAUGGGCAAUGCCAAGCCUGAUGAGAACCUGAAAUCCGCUAGCAAAGAAGAACUCAAGAAAGACGUUAAGAAUGAUGUGAACUGCAAGAGAGGCCAUGCAGGGACCACAGAUAAUGAAAAGAGAUCAGAGAGCCAGGGGACAGCCCCAGCCUUCAAGCAGAAGCUGCAAGAUGUUCAUGUGGCAGAGGGCAAGAAGCUGCUGCUCCAGUGCCAGGUGUCUUCUGACCCCCCAGCCACCAUCACCUGGACGCUGAAUGGAAAGACCCUCAAGACCACCAAGUUCAUCAUCCUCUCCCAGGAAGGCUCACUCUGCUCCGUCUCCAUCGAGAAGGCACUGCCUGAGGACAGAGGCUUAUACAAGUGUGUAGCCAAGAAUGACGCUGGCCAGGCGGAGUGCUCCUGCCAAGUCACCGUGGAUGAUGCUCCAGCCAGUGAGAACACCAAGGCCCCAGAGAUGAAAUCCCGGAGGCCCAAGAGCUCUCUUCCUCCCGUGCUAGGAACUGAGAGUGAGUACUCGCCCAGCUUCACCAGGCAGAGGCAGAGGCAGGGGCAGGCACCCCGGGGACUGAGGGCAGCCUCAGAGCCCCCACUUUCUGGUCACUCACUCUUGCCUGAAUCCCUGGAAGUCUGAUGUCUGCCCACACCCUGAAGUGUCCAGUGAACUCCCAAUAACAGAGCACCCCAUCCCAGUGCUCUCUCCAGCCUGUCUCCAGCCUGGGUGGUGUUGCACAUCUCAUCUGAGCUCCUAUCUACCUCCCCUGACCAACCUCCUUCAUGCCCUUUCACUUCCCACCAAGACUCUAGGAGAGCUCCUCCUAAUUUCUCCCCAGUUGACCCUGCCCUCCCAGGGGCUCUUUCUGGAUUGUAACUCUGAUCUCAUCACUCCUGGUUGAAAUAUGUAGUGGCCCCCAGAGCCUGCAAAACCCACAAGCAAAGCUCCACAUGUUAGUGCCCAGGACAUACCUAGCUCGCAUGUGCACACGUGGUCCCACAUGUGGCCUGCCCCCCGCCUGUCUUUCCCGGUGCUGCCCCCAGCUCCUUUACUUCUAUUUUAUACUCAGGCCAAACUGAGCUCUUCACUGCGCACUACCCAGCCCCCAAGUUCCUUCCUUCAUGCCUUCUCUGGCACCUCUCUCCAUGGGACACCUUUCUGCCAAACUCCUCUGAAAAGUCUCUCAUCCCUGAGUUCUUCCUCACCUCAGCUCCCACAGUGUCAGCACCUGGCUCCUCCACUACCUCCUUCCCAAUGUCACGGAGAUGUGUCUGGGUCUCAUCCUCCCUCCUCCAUUGUACAGGGUCUGUUCAAGCAAUUACCUUUCAGAAUGACACAUGCUGCGCCUUGCUCGUGGAAGGCCCUUCCCAGUUUCUCUUAGAGUCGAAUCGCAGUGUGGUAUAAAAAGCCAAGAGAGAAAGGAGCCUCUCCGUGACCAUAGGCAGCUACCUCCCUCUUUUUGGAUCUCAGCUUCCCCAUAGCCCACACAUCCAUUAGGCACCAUGCAUAGGGUCCACAGUGCUUUUACAGGCCUGCCAAAUGCUGUAAUAUCUUAUAAAAUUAGAAGAAAAAGGUGAACUUCUAAGUCAAAGAAAAUGUUUUAAUUCAUGAUAUGAAUAUAUUCAUCUUUAUACCCAUGCAGUUAAAAGUGUAGUUUACAUAAUUCAAAUAUAAUACUUGAUAUGUAAUUAAA